AGCCCACCCGUUUUUUGGCCAUUUUUCCGCUGGGGGGUCUUGGGACCCCGACCUUCGGGGGCUGAUUUUUGGGCGCGGCUGUGCCCGUGGCCUAUUUUUCGCACACAGAGGCCGCCCGCCAAGUAUGGUGCCAUUCCGAGUCCCGCGGACGAACUUCGCCCACACCCCCCACCAAGGCUAUAGCCCACCCGUUUUUUGGCCAUUUUUCCGCUGGGGGGUCUUGGGACCCCGACCUUCGGGGGAUGAUUUUUGGGCGCGGCUGUGCCCGUGGCCUAUUUUUGGCACACGGAGGCCGCCCGCCAAGUCAGGGGCCAUUCCGAGUCCCGCGGACGAACUUCGCCCACGCCGCCCACCAAGGCUAUAGCCCACCCGUUUUUUGGCCAUUUUUCCGCUGGGGGAUCUUGGGACCCCGACCUUCGGGGGCUGAUUUUUGGGCGCGGCUGUGCCCGUGGCCUAUUUUUGGCACACAGAGGCCGCCCGCCAAGUAUGGUGCCAUUCCGAGUCCCGCGGAUGAACUUCGCCCACGCCGCCCACCAAGGCUAUAGCCCACCCGUUUUUUGGCCAUUUUUCCGCUGGGGGGUCUUGGGACCCCGACCUUCGGGUGCUGAUUUUAGGGCGCGGCUGUGCCCGUGGCCUAUUUUUGGCACACAGAGGCCGCCCGCCAAGUAUGGUGCCAUUCCGAGUCCCGCGGACGAACUUCGCCCACGCCGCCCACCAAGGCUAUAGCCCACCCGUUUUUUGGCCAUUUUUCCGCUGGGGGGUCUUGGGACCCCGACCUUCGGGUGCUGAUUUUUGGGCGCGGCUGUGCCCGUGGCCUAUUUUUUGGCACACAGAGGGCCGCCCGCCAAGUCAGGGUGCCAUUCCGAGUCCCGCGGACGAAGUUCGCCCACGCCCCCCACCAAGGCUAUAGCCCACCCGUUUUUUGGCCAUUUUUCCGCUGGGGGGUCUUGGGACCCCGACCUUCGGGGGCUGAUUUUUGGGCGCGGCUGUGCCCGUGGCCUAUUUUUGGCACACGGAGGCCGCCCGCCAAGUCAGGGGCCAUUCCGAGUCCCGCGGACGAAGUUCGCCCACGCCCCCCACCAAGGCUAUAGCCCACCCGUUUUUUGGCCAUUUUUCCGCUGGGGGGUCUUGGGACCCCAACCUUCGGGGGCUGAUUUUUGAGCGCGGCUGUGCCCGUGGCCUAUUUUUGGCACACGGAGGCCGCCCGCCAAGACAGGGGCCAUUCCGAGUCCCGCGGACGAACUUCGCCCACGCCGCCCACCAAGGCUAUAGCCCACCCGUUUUUUGGCCAUUUUUCCGCUUGGGGGUCUUGGGACCCCGACCUUCGGGGGCUGAUUUUUGAGCGCGGCUGUGCCCGUGGCCUAUUUUUGGUACACGGAGGCCGCCCGCCAAGUCUGGUGCCAUUCCGAGUCCCGCGGACGAACUUCGCCCACGCCGCCCACCAAGGCUAUAGCCCACCCGUUUUUUGACCAUUUUUCCGCUGGGGGGUCUUGGGACCCCGACCUUCGGGGGCUGAUUUUUGGGCGCGGCUGUGCCCGUGGCCUAUUUUUGGCACACAGAGGCCGCCCGCCAAGUAUGGUGCCAUUCCGAGUCCCGCGGACGAACUUCGCCCACGCCCCCCACCAAGGCUAUAGCCCACCCGUUUUUUGGCCAUUUUUCCGCUGGGGGGUCUUGGGACCCCGACCUUCGGGGGCUGAUUUUUGGGCGCGGCUGUGCCCGUGGCCUAUUUUUGGCACACAGAGGCCGCCCGCCAAGUAUGGUGCCAUUCCGAGUCCCGCGGACGAACUUCGCCCACGCCGCCCACCAAGGCUAUAGCCCACCCGUUUUUUGGCCAUUUUUCCGCUGGGGGGUCUUGGGACCCCGACCUUCGGGGGCUGAUUUUUGGGCGCGGCUGUGCCCGUGGCCUAUUUUUGGCACACGGAGGCCGCCCGCCAAGUCAGGGGCCAUUCCGAGUCCCGCGGACGAAGUUCGCCCACGCCCCACACCAAGGCCAUAGCCCACCCGUUUUUUGGCCAUUUUUCCGCUGGGGGGUCUUGGGACCCCGACCUUCGGGGGCUGAUUUUUGGGCGCGGCUGUACCCGUGGCCCAGUUUUGGCACACGGAGGCCGCCCGCCAAGUCAGGGGCCAUUCCGAGUCCCGCGGAUGAAGUUCGCCCACGCCCCCCACCAAGGCUAUAGCCCACCCGUUUUUUGGCCAUUUUUCCACUGGGGGGUCUUGGGACCCCGACCUUCGGGGGCUGAUUUUUGUACGCGGCUGUGCCCGUGGCCUAUUUUUGGCACACAGAGGCCGCCCGCCAAGUAUGGUGCCAUUCCGAGUCCCGCGGACGAACUUCGCCCACGCCCCCCACCAAGGAUAUAGCCCACCCGUUUUUUGGCCAUUUUUCCGCUGGGGGGUCUUGGGACCCCGACCUUCAGGGGCUGAUUUUUGGGCGCGGCUGUGCCCGUGGCCUAUUUUUGGCACACGGAGGCCGCCCGCCAAGUCAGGGGCCAUUCCGAGUCCCGCGGACGAAGUUCGCCCACGCCCCCCACCAAGGCUAUAGCCAACCCGUUUUUUGGCCAUUUUUCCGCUGGGGGGUCUUGGGACCCCGACCUUCGGGGGCUGAUUUUUGGGCGCGGCUGUGCCCGUGGCCUAUUUUUGGCACACAGAGGCCGCCCGCCAAGUAUGGUGCCAUUCCGAGUCCCGCGGACGAACUUCGCCCACGCCGCCCACCAAGGCUAUAGCCCACCCGUUUUUUGGCCAUUUUUCCGCUGGGGGGUCAUGGGACCCCGACCUUCGGGGGCUGAUUUUUGGGCGCGGCUGUGCCCGUGGCCUAUUUUUGGCACACAGAGGCCGCCCGCCAAGUAUGGUGCCAUUCCGAGUCCCGCGGACGAACUUCGCCCACGCCCCCCACCAAGGCUAUAGCCCACCCGUUUUUUGGCCAUUUUUCCGCUGGGGGGUCUUGGGACCCCGACCUUCGGGGGCUGAUAUUUGGGCGCGGCUGUGCCCGUGGCCCAGUUUUGGCACACGGAGGCCGCCCGCCAAGUCGGGGGCCAUUCCGAGUCCCGCGGAUGAAGUUCGCCCACGCCCCCCACCAAGGCUAUAGCCCACCCGUUUUUUGGCCAUUUUUCCGCUGGGUGGUCUUGGGACCCCGACCUUCGGGGGCUGAUUUUUGGGCGCGGCUGUGCCCGUGGCCUAUUUUUGGCACACAGAGGCCGCCCGCCAAGUAUGGUGCCAUUCCGAGUCCCGCGGACGAACUUCGCCCACGCCGCCCACCAAUUCUAUAGCCCACCCGUUUUUUGGCCAUUUUUCCGCUGGGGGGUCUUGGGACCCCGACCUUCGGGGGCUGAUUUUUGGGCGCGGCUGUGCCCGUGGCCUAUUUUUGGCACACGGAGGCCGCCCGCCAAGUCAGGGGCCAUUCCGAGUCCCGCGGACGAAGUUCGCCCACGCCGUCCACCAAGGCUAUAGCCCACCCGUUUUUUGGCCAUUUUUCCACUGGGGGGUCUUGGGACACCGACUUUCGGGUGCUGAUUUUUGGGCGCGGCUGUGCCCGUGGCCUAUUUUUGGCACACAGAGGCCGCCCACCAAGUAUGGUGCCAUUCCGAGUCCCGCGGACGAACUUCGCCCACGCCCCCCACCAAGGCUAUAGCCCACCCGUUUUUUGGCCAUUUUUCCGCUGGGGGGUCUUGGGACCCCGACCUUCGGGGGCUGAUUUUUGGGCGCGGCUGUGCCCGUGGCCUAUUUUUGGCACACGGAGGCCGCCCGCCAAGUCAGGGGCCAUUCCGAGUCCCGCGGACGAACUUCGCCCACGCCGCCCACCAAGGCUAUAGCCCACCCGUUUUUUGGCCAUUUUUCCGCUGGGGGGUCUUGGGACCCCGACCUUCGGGGGCUGAUUUUUGGGCGCGGCUGUGCCCGUGGCCUAUUUUUGGCACACAGAGGCCGCCCGCCAAGUACGGUGCCAUUCCGAGUCCCGCGGACGAACUUCGCCCACGCCGCCCACCAAGGCUGUAGCCCACCCGUUUUUUGGCCAUUUUUCCGCUGGGGGGUCUUGGGACCCCGACCUUCGGGGGCUGAUUUUUGGGCGCGGCUGUGCCCGUGGCCUAUUUUUGGCACACGGAGGCCGCCCGCCAAGUCAGGGGCCAUUCCGACUCCCGCGGACGAAGUUCGCCCACGCCCCCCACCAAGGCUAUAGCCCACCCGUUUUUGGCCAUUUUUCCGCUGGGGGGUCUUGGGACCCCGACCUUCGGGGGCUGAUUUUUGGGCGCGGCUGUGCCCGUGGCCUAUUUUUAGCACACAGAGGCCGCCCGCCAAGUAUGGUGCCAUUCCGAGUCCCGCGGACGAACUUCGCCCACGCCCCCCACCAAGGCUAUAGCCCACCCGUUUUUUGGCCAUUUCUCCGCUGGUGGGUCUUGGGACCCCGACCUUCGGGGGCUGAUUUUUGGGCGCGGCUGUGCCCGUGGCCUAUUUUUGGCACACGGAGGCCGCCCGCCAAGUCAGGGGCCAUUCCGAGUCCCGCGGACGAAGUUCGCCCACGCCCCCCACCAAGGCUAUAGCCCACCCGUUUUUUGGCCAUUUUUCCACUGGGGGGUCUUGGGACCCCGACCUUCGGGGGCUGAUUUUUGGGCGCGGCUGUGCCCGUGGCCUAUUUUUGGCACACAGAGGCCGCCCGCCAAGUAUGGUGCCAUUCCGAGUCCCGCGGACGAACUUCGCCCACACCCCCAACAAGGCUAUAGCCCACCCGUUUUUUGGCCAUUUUUCCGCUGGUGGGUCUUGGGACCCCGACCUUCGGGGGCUGAUUUUUGGGCGCGGCUGUGCCCGUGCCCUAUUUUUGGCACACGGAGGCCGCCCGCCAAGUCAGGGGCCAUUCCGAGUCCCGCGGACGAAGUUCGCCCACGCCCCCCACCAAGGCUAUAGCCCACCCGUUUUUUGGCCAUUUUUCCACUGGGGGGUCUUGGGACCCCGACCUUCGGGGGCUGAUUUUUGUGCGCGGCUGUGCCCGUGGCCUAUUUUUGGCACACAGAGGCCGCCCGCCAAGUAUGGUGCCAUUCCGAGUCCCGCGGACGAACUUCGCCCACGCCCCCCACCAAGGCUAUAGCCCACCCGUUUUUUGGCCAUUUUUUCGCUGGGGGGUCUUGGGACCCCGACCUUCGGGGGCUGAUUUUUGGGCGCGGCUGUGCCCGUGGCCUAUUUUUGGUACCCGGAGGCCGCCCGCCAAGUCAGGGGCCAUUCCGAGUCCCGCGGACGAAGUUCGCCCACGCCCCCCACCAAGGCUAUAGCCCACCCGUUUUUUGGCCAUUUUUCCGCUGGGGGGUCUUGGGACCUCGACCUUCGGGGGCUGAUUUUUGGGCGCGGCUGUGCCCGUGUCCUAUUUUUGGCACACGGAGGCCGCCCGCCAAGUCAGGUGCCAUUCCGAGUCCCGCGGACGAAGUUUGCCCACGCCCCCCACCAAGGCUAUAGCCCACCCGUUUUUUGGCCAUUUUUCCGCUGGGGGGUCUUGGGACCCCGACCUUCGGGGGCUGAUUUUUGGGCGCGGCUGUGCCCGUGGCCUAUUUUUGGCACACAGAGGCCGCCCGCCAAGUAUGGUGCCAUUCCGAGUCCCGCGGACGAACUUCGCCCACGCCGCCCACCAAGGCUAUAGCCCACCCGUUUUUUGACCAUUUUUCCGCUGGGGGGUCUUGGGACCCCGACCUUCGGGGGCUGAUUUUUGGGCGCGGCUGUGCCCGUGGCCUAUUUUUGGUACCCGGAGGCCGCCCGCCAAGUCAGGGGCCAUUCCGAGUCCCGCGGACGAAGUUCGCCCUCUCCCCCCACCAAGGCUAUAGCCCACCCGUUUUUUGGCCAUUUUUCCGCUGGGGGGUCUUGGGACCUCGACCUUCGGGGGCUGAUUUUUGGGCGCGGCUGUGCCCGUGUCCUAUUUUUGGCACACGGAGGCCGCCCGCCAAGUCAGGGGCCAUUCCGAGUCCCGCGGACGAAGUUCGCCCACGCCCCCCACCAAGGCUAUAGCCCACCCGUUUUUUGGCCAUUUUUCCGCUGGGGGGUCUUGGGACCCCGACCUUCGGGGGCUGAUUUUUGGGCGCGGCUGUGCCCGUGGCCUAUUUUUGGCACACAGAGGCCGCCCGCCAAGUAUGGUGCCAUUCCGAGUCCCGCGGACGAACUUCGCCCACGCCGCCCACCAAGGCUAUAGCCCACCCGUUUUUUGACCAUUUUUCCGCUGGGGGGUCUUGGGACCCCGACCUUCGGGGGCUGAUUUUUGGGCGCGGCUGUGCCCGUGGCCAAUUUUUGGUACCCGGAGGCCGUCCGCCAAGUCAGGGGCCAUUCCGAGUCCCGCGGACGAAGUUCGCCCACGCCCCCCACCAAGGCUAUAGCCCACCCGUUUUUUGGCCAUUUUUCCGCUGGGGGGUCUUGGGACCCCGACCUUUGGGGGCUGAUUUUUGGGCGCGGCUGUGCCCGUGGCCUAUUUUUGGCACACGGAGGCCGCCCGCCAAGUCAGGGGCCAUUCCGAGUCCCGCGGACGAAGUUCGCCCACGCCCCCCACCAAGGCUAUAGCCCACCCGUUUUUUGGCCAUUUUUCCGCUGGGGGGUCUUGGGACCCCGACCUUCGGGGUCUGAUUUUUGGGCGCGGCUGUGCCCGUGGCCUAUUUUUGGCACACGGAGACCACCCGCCAAGUAUGGUGCCAUUCCGAGUCCCGCGGACGAACUUCGCCCACGCCCCCCACCAAGGCUAUAGCCCACCCGUUUUUUGGCCAUUUUUCCGCUGGGGGGUCUUGGGACCCCGACCUUCGGGGGCUGAUUUUUGGGCGCGGCUGUGCCCGUGGCCUAUUUUUGGCACACGGAGGCCGCCCGCCAAGUAUGGUGCCAUUCCGAGUCCCGCGGACGAACUUCGCCCACGCCGCCCACCAAGGCUAUAGCCCACCCGUUUUUUGGCCAUUUUUCCGCUGGGGGGUCUUGGGACCCCGACCUUCGGGGGCUGAUUUUUGGGCGCGGCUGUGCCCGUGGCCUAUUAUUGGCACACGGAGGCCGCCCGCCAAGUCAGGGACCAUUCCGAGUCCCGCGGACGAAGUUCGCCCACGCCCCCCACCAAGGCUAUAGCCCACCCGUUUUUUGGACAUUUUUCCGCUGGGGGGUCUUGGGACCCCGACCUUCGGGGGCUAAUUUUUGGGCGCGGCUGUGCCCGUGGCCUAUUUUUGGCACACAUAGGCCGCCCGCCAAGUAUGGUGCCAUUCCUAGUCCCGCGGACAAACUUCUCCCACACCACCCACCAAGGCUAUAGCCCACCCGUUUUUGGCCAUUUUUCCGCUGGGGGGUCUUGGGAGCCCGACCUUCGGGGGCUGAUUUUUGGGCGCGGCUGUGCCCGUGGCCUAUUUUUGGCACACGGAGGCCGCCCGCCAAGUCAGGGGCCAUUCCGAGUCCCGCGGACGAAGUUCGCCCACGCCCCCCACCAAGGCUAUAGCCCACCCGUUUUUUGGCCAUUUUUCCGCUGGGGGGUCUUGGGACCCCGACCUUCGGGGGCUGAUUUUUGGGCCGCGGCUGUGCCCGUGGCCUAUUUUUGGCACACAGAGGCCGCCCGCCAAGUAUGGUGCCAUUCCGAGUCCCGCGGACGAACUUCGCCCACGCCCCCCACCAAGGCUAUAGCCCACCCGUUUUUUGGCCAUUUUUCCGCUGGGGGGUCUUGGGACCCCGACCUUCGGGGGCUGAUUUUUGGGCGCGGCUGUGCCCGUGGCCUAUUUUUGGCACACAGAGGCCGCCCGCCAAGUAUGGUGCCAUUCCGAGUCCCGCGGACGAACUUCGCCCACGCCCCCCACCAAGGCUAUAGCCCACCCGUUUUUUGGCCAUUUUUCCGCUGGGGGGUCUUGGGACCCCGACCUUCGGGGGCUGAUUUUUGGGCGCGGCUGUGCCCGUGGCCUAUUUUUGGCACACGGAGGCCGCCCGCCAAGUCAGGGGCCAUUCCGAGUCCCGCGGACGAAGUUCGCCCACGCCCCCCACCAAGGCUAUAGCCCACCCGUUUUUUGGCCAUUUUUCCACUGGGGGGUCUUGGGACCCCGACCUUCGGGGGCUGAUUUUUGGGCGCGGCUGUGCCCGUGGCCUAUUUUUGGCACACGGAGGCCGCCCGCCAAGUCAGGGGCCAUUCCAAGUCCCGCGUACGAAGUUCGCCCACGCCUCCCACCAAGGCUAUAGCCCACCCAUUUUUUGGCCAUUUUUCCACUGGGGGGUCUUGGGACCCCGACCUUCGGGGGCUGAUUUUUGUGCGCGGCUGUGCCCGUGGCCUAUUUUUGGCACACAGAGACCGCCCGCCAAGUAUGGUGCCAUUCCGAGUCCCGCGGACGAACUUCGCCCACGCCGCCCACCAAGUCUAUAGCCCACCCGUUUUUUGGCCAUUUUUCCGCUGGGGGGUCUUGGGACCCCGACCUUCGGGGGCUGAUUUUUGGGCGCGGCUGUGCCCGUGGCCUAUUUUUGGCACACAGAGGCCGCCCGCCAAGUAUGGUGCCAUUCCGAGUCCCGCGGACGAACUUCGCCCACGCCCCCCACCAAGGCUAUAGCCCACCCGUUUUUUGGCCAUUUUUCCGCUGGGGGGUCUUGGGACCCCGACCUUCGGGGGCUGAUUUUUGGGCGCGGCAGUGCCCGUGGCCUAUUUUUGGCACACAGAGGCCGCCCGCCAAGUAUGGUGCCAUUCCGAGUCCCGCAGAUGAACUUCGCCCACGCCGCCCACCAAGGCUAUAGCCCACCCGUUUUUUGGCCAUUUUUCCGCUGGGGGGUCUUGGGACCCCGACCUUCGGGGGCUGAUUUUUGGGCGCGGCUGUGCCCGUGGCCUAUUUUUGGCACACGGAGGCCGCCCGCCAAGUCAGGGGCCAUUCCGAGUCCCGCGGACGAAGUUCGCCCACGCCCCCCACCAAGGCUAUAGCCCACCCGUUUUUUGGCCAUUUUUCCGCUGGGGGGUCUUGGGACCCUGACCUUCGGGGGCUGAUUUUUGGGCGCGGCUGUGCCCGUGGCCUAUUUUUGGCACACAGAGGCCGCCCGCCAAGUAUGGUGCCAUUCCGAGUCCCGCGGACGAACUUCGCCCACGCCGCCCACCAAGGCUAUUGCCCACCCGUUUUUUGGCCAUUUUUCCACUGGGGGGUCUUGGGACCCCUACNNNNNNNNNNNNNNNNNNNNNNNNNNNNNNNNNNNNNNNNNNNNNNNNNNNNNNNNNNNNNNNNNNNNNNNNNNNNNNNNNNNNNNNNNNNNNNNNNNNNNNNNNNNNNNNNNNNNNNNNNNNNNNNNNNNNNNNNNNNNNNNNNNNNNNNNNNNNNNNNNNNNNNNNNNNNNNNNNNNNNNNNNNNNNNNNNNNNNNNNNNNNNNNNNNNNNNNNNNNNNNNNNNNNNNNNNNNNNNNNNNNNNNNNNNNNNNNNNNNNNNNNNNNNNNNNNNNNNNNNNNNNNNNNNNNNNNNNNNNNNNNNNNNNNNNNNNNNNNNNNNNNNNNNNNNNNNNNNNNNNNNNNNNNNNNNNNNNNNNNNNNNNNNNNNNNNNNNNNNNNNNNNNNNNNNNNNNNNNNNNNNNNNNNNNNNNNNNNNNNNNNNNNNNNNNNNNNNNNNNNNNNNNNNNNNNNNNNNNNNNNNNNNNNNNNNNNNNNNNNNNNNNNNNNNNNNNNNNNNNNNNNNNNNNNNNNNNNNNNNNNNNNNNNNNNNNNNNNNNNNNNNNNNNNNNNNNNNNNNNNNNNNNNNNNNNNNNNNNNNNNNGGCUGUACCCGUGGCCUAUUUUUGGCACACGGAGGCCGCCCGCCAAGUCAGGGGCCAUUCCGAGUCCCGCGGACGAAGUUCGCCCACGCCCCCCACCAAGGCUAUAGCCAACCCGUUUUUUGGCCAUUUUUCCGCUGGGGGGUCUUGGGACCCCGAGCUUCGGGGGCUGAUUUUUGGGCGCGGCUGUGCCCGUGGCCUAUUUUUGGAAUACAGUGACCGCCCGCCAAGUAUGGUGCCAUUCCGAGUCCCGCGGACGAACUUCGCCCACGCCGCCCCACCAAGGCUAUAGCCCACCCGUUUUUUGGCCAUUUUUCCGCUGGGGGGUCUUGGGACCCCGACCUUCGGGGGCUGUUUUUUGGGCGCGGCUGUGCCCGUGGCCUAUUUUUGGCACACGGAGGCCGCCCGCAACGUCUGGUGCCAUUCCGAGUCCCGCGGACGAACUUCGCCCACGCCCCCGACCAAGGCUAUAGCCCACCCGUUUUUUGGCCAUUUUUCCGCUGGGGGGUCUUGGGACCCCGACCUUCGGGAGCUGUUUUUUGGGCGCGGCUGUGCCCGUGGCCUAUUUUUGGCACACGGAGGCCGCCCGCCACGUCUGGUGCCAUUCCGAGUCCCGCGGACGAACUUCGCCCACGGCCCCCACCAAGGCUAUAGCCCACCCGUUUUUUGGCCAUUUUUCCGCUGGGGGGUCUUGGGACCCCGACCUUCGGGGGCUGUUUUUUGGGCGCGGCUGUGCCCGUGGCCUAUUUUUGGCACACGGAGGCCGCCCGCCAAGUCUGGUGCCAUUCCGAGUCCCGCGGACGAACUUCGCCCACGCCCCCCACCAAGGCUAUAGCCCACCCGUUUUUUGGCCAUUUUUCCGCUGGGGGGUCUUGGGACCCCGACCUUCGGGGGCUGUUUUUUGGGCGCGGCUGUGCCCGUGGCCUAUUUUUGGCACACGGAGGCCGCCCGCCAAGUCUGGUGCCAUUCCGAGUCCCGCGGACGAACUUCGCCCACGCCCCCCACCAAGGCUAUAGCCCACCCGUUUAUUGGCCAUUUUUCCGCUGGGGGGUCUUGGGACCCCGACCUUCGGGGGCUGGUUUUUGGGCGCGGCUGUGCCCGUGGCCUAUUUUUGGCACACGGAGGCCGCCCGCCAAGUCUGGUGCCAUUCCGAGUCCCGCGGACGAACUUCGCCCACGGCCCCCACCAAGGCUAUAGCCCACCCGUUUUUUGGCCAUUUUUCCGCUGGGGGGUCUUGGGACCCCGACCUUCGGGGGCUGUUUUUUGGGCGCGGCUGUGCCCGUGGCCUAUUUUUGGCACACGGAGGCCGCCCGCCAAGUCUGGUGCCAUUCCGAGUCCCGCGGACGAACUUCGCCCACGGCCCCCACCAAGGCUAUAGCCCACCCGUUUUUUGGCCAUUUUUCCGCUGGGGGGUCUUGGGACCCCGACCUUCGGGGGCUGUUUUUUGGGCGCGGCUGUGCCCGUGGCCUAUUUUUGGCACACGGAGGCCGCCCGCCAAGUCUGGUGCCAUUCCGAGUCCCGCGGACGAACUUCGCCCACGCCCCCCACCAAGGCUAUAGCCCACCCGUUUUUUGGCCAUUUUUCCGCUGGGGGGUCUUGGGACCCCGACCUUCGGGGGCUGGUUUUUGGGCGCGUCUGUGCCCGUGGCCUAUUUUUGGCACACGGAGGCCGCCCGCCAAGUCUGGUGCCAUUCCGAGUCCCGCGGACGAACUUCGCCCACGCCCCCCACCAAGGCUAUAGCCCACCCGUUUUUUGGCCAUUUUUCCGCUGGGGGGUCUUGGGACCCCGACCUUCGGGGGCUGUUUUUUGGGCGCGGCUGUGCCCGUGGCCUAUUUUUGGCACACGGAGGCCGCCCGCCAAGUCUGGUGCCAUUCCGAGUCCCGCGGACGAACUUCGCCCACGCCCCCCACCAAGGCUAUAGCCCACCCGUUUUUUGGCCAUUUUUCCGCUGGGGGGUCUUCGGACCCCGACCUUCGGGGGCUGGUUUUUGGGCGCGGCUGUGCCCGUGGCCUAUUUUUGGCACACGGAGGCCGCCCGCCAAGUCUGGUGCCAUUCCGAGUCCCGUGGACGAACUUCGCCCACGGCCCCCACCAAGGCUAUAGCCAACCCGUUUUUUGGCCAUUUUUCCGCUGGGGGGUCUUGGGACCCCGACCUUGGGGGGCUGUUUUUUGGGCGCGGCUGUGCCCGUGGCCUAUUUUUGGCACACGGAGGCCGCCCGCCAAGUCUGGUGCCAUUCCGAGUCCCGCGGACGAACUUCGCCCACGCCCCCCACCAAGGCUAUAGCCCACCCGUUUUUUGGCCAUUUUUCCGCUGGGGGGUCUUGGGACCCCGACCUUCGGGGGCUGUUUUUUGGGCGCGGCUGUGCCCGUGGCCUAUUUUUGGCACACGGAGGCCGCCCACCAAGUCUGGUGCCAUUCCGAGUCCCGCGGACGAACUUCGCCCACGCCCCCCACCAAGGCUAUAGCCCACCUAUUUUUUGGCCAUUUUUCCGCUGGGGGGUCUUGGGACCCCGACCUUCGGGGGCUGUUUUUUGGGCGCGGCAGUGCUCGUGGCCUAUUUUUGGCACACGGAGGCCGCCCUCCAAGUCUGCUGCCAUUCCGAGUCCCGCGGACGAACUUCGCCCACGCCCCCCACCAAGGCUAUAGCCCACCUAUUUUUUGGCCAUUUUUCCGCUGGGGGGUCUUGGGACCCCGAACUUCGAGGGCUGUUUUUUGGGUGCGGCUGUGCCCGUGGCCUAUUUUUGGCACACGGAGGCCGCCCGCCAAGUCUGGUGCCAUUCCGAGUCCCGCGGACGAACUUCGCCCACGCCCCCCACCAAGGCUAUAGCCCACCCGUUUUUUGGCCAUUUUUCCGCUGGGGGGUCUUGGGACCCCGACCUUCGGGGGCUGUUUUUUGGGCGCGGCUGUGCCCGUGGCCUAUUUUUGGCACACGGAGGCCGCCCGCCAAGUCUGGUGCCAUUCCGAGUCCCGCGGACGAACUUCGCCCACGCCCCCCACCAAGGCUAUAGCCCACCCGUUUUUUGGCCAUUUUUCCGCUGGCGGGUCUUGGGACCCCGGCCUUCGGGGGCUGUUUUUUGGGCGCGGCAGUGCCCGUGGCCUAUUUUUGGCACACGGAGGCCGCCCGCCAAGUCUGGUGCCAUUCCGAGUCCCGCGGACGAACUUCGCCCACGGCCCCCACCAAGGCUAUAGGCCACCCGUUUUUUGGCCAAUUUUCCGCUGGGGGGUCUUGGGACCCCGACCUUCGGGGGCUGUUUUUUGGGCGCGGCUGUGCCCGUGGCCUAUUUUUGGCACACGGAGGCCGCCCGCCAAGUCUGGUGCCAUUCCGAGUCCCGCGGACGAACUUCGCCCACGCCCCCCACCAAGGCUAUAGCCCACCCGUUUUUUGGUCAUUUUUCCGCUGGGGGGUCUUGGGACCCCGACCUUCGGGGGCUGUUUUUUGGGCGCGGCUGUGCCCGUGGCCUAUUUUUGGCACACGGAGGCCGCCCGCCAAGUCUGGUGCCAUUCCGAGUCCCGCGGACAAACUUCGCCCACGACCCCCACCAAGGCUAUAGGCCACCCGUUUUUUGGCCAUUUUUCCGCUGGGGGGGUCUUGGGACCCCGACCUUCGGGGGCUGUUUUUUGGACGCGGCUGUGCCCGUGGCCUAUUUUUGGCACACGGAGGCCGCCCGCCAAGUCUGGUGCCAUUCCGAGUCCCGCGGACGAACUUCGCCCACGGCCCCCACCAAGGCUAUAGGCCACCCGUUUUUUGGCCAAUUUUCCGCUGGGGGGUCUUGGGACCCCGACCUUCGGGGGCUGUUUUUUGGGCGCGGCUGUGCCCGUGGCCUAUUUUUGGCACACGGAGGCCGCCCGCCAAGUCUGGUGCCAUUCCGAGUCCCGCGGACGAACUUCGCCCACGCCCCCCACCAAGGCUAUAGCCCACCCGUUUUUUGGUCAUUUUUCCGCUGGGGGGUCUUGGGACCCCGACCUUCGGGGGCUGUUUUUUGGGCGCGGCUGUGCCCGUGGCCUAUUUUUGGCACACGGAGGCCGCCCGCCAAGUCUGGUGCCAUUCCGAGUCCCGCGGACGAACUUCGCCCACGGCCCCCACCAAGGCUAUAGCCCACCCGUUUUUUGGCCAUUUUUCCGCUGGGGGGUCUUGGGACCCCGACCUUCGGGGGCUGUUUUUUGGGCGCGGCUGUGCCCGUGGCCUAUUUUUGGCACACGGAGGCCGCCCGCCAAGUCUGGUGCCAUUCCGAGUCCCGCGGACGAACUUCGCCCACGCCCCCCACCAAGGCUAUAGCCCACCCGUUUUUUGGUCAUUUUUCCGCUGGGGGUCUUGGGACCCCGACCUUCGGGGGCUGUUUUUUGGGCGCGGCUGUGCCCGUGGCCUAUUUUUGGCACACGGAGGCCGCCCGCCAAGUCUGGUGCCAUUCCGAGUCCCGCGGACGAACUUCGCCCACGCCCCCCACCAAGGCUAUAGCCCACCCGUUUUUUGGCCAUUUUUCCGCUGGGGGGUCUUGGGACCCCGACCUUCGGGGGCUGUUUUUUGGGCGCGGCUGUGCCCGUGGCCUAUUUUUGGCACACGGAGGCCGCCCGCCACGUCUGGUGCCAUUCCGAGUCCCGCGGACGAACUUCGCCCACGGCCCCGACCAAGGCUAUAGCCCACCCGUUUUUUGGCCAUUUUUCCGCUGGGGGGUCUUGGGACCCCGACCUUCGGGGGCUGUUUUUUGGGCGCGGCUGUGCCCGUGGCCUAUUUUUGGCACACGGAGGCCGCCCGCCAAGUCUGGUGCCAUUCCGAGUCCCGCGGACGAACUUCGCCCACGGCCCCCACCAAGGCUAUAGCCCACCCGUUUUUUGGCCAUUUUUCCGCUGGGGGGUCUUGGGACCCCGACCUUCGGGGGCUGGUUUUUGGGCGCGGCUGUGCCCGUGGCCUAUUUUUGGCACACGGAGGCUGCCCGCCAAGUCUGGUGCCAUUCCGAGUCCCGCGGACGAACCUCGCCCACGCCCCCCACCAAGGCUAUAGCCCACCCGUUUUUUGGCCAUUUUUCCGCUGGGGGGUCUUGGGACCCCGACCUUCGGGGGCUGAUUUUUGGGCGCGGCUGUGCCCGUGGCCUAUUUUUGGCACACAGAGGCCGCCCGCCAAGUAUGGUGCCAUUCCGAGUCCCGCGGACGAACUUUGCCCACGCCCCCCACCAAGGCUAUAGCCCACCCGUUUUUUGGCCAUUUUUCCGCUGGGGGGUCUUGGGACCCCGACCUUCGGGGGCUGAUUUUUGGGCGCGGCUGUGCCCGUGGCCUAUUUUUGGCACACGGAGGCCGCCCGCCAAGUCAGGGGCCAUUCCGAGUCCCGCGGACGAAGUUCGCCCACGCCCCCCACCAAGGCUAUAGCCCACCCGUUUUUUGGCCAUUUUUCCACUGGGGGGUCUUGGGACCCCGACCUUCGGGGGCUGAUUUUUGUGCGCGGCUGUGCCCGUGGCCUAUUUUUGGCACACAGAGGCCGCCCGCCAAGUAUGGUGCCAUUCCGAGUCCCGCAGACGAACUUCGCCCACGCACCCCACCAAGGCUAUAGCCCACCCGUUUUUUGGCCAUUUUUCCGCUGGGGGGUCUUGGGACCCCGACCUUCGGGGGCUGAUUUUUGGGCGCGGCUGUGCCCGUGGCCUAUUUUUGGCACACAAAGGCCGCCCGCCAACUAUGGUGCCAUUCCGAGUCCCGCGGACGAACUUCGCCCACGCCCCUCACCAAGGCUAUAGCCCACCCGUUUUUUGGCCAUUUUUCCGCUGGGGGGUCUUGGGACCCCGACCUUCGGGGGCUGAUUUUUGGGCGCGGCUGUGCCCUUGGCCUAUUUUUGGCACACGGAGGCCGCCCGCCAAGUCAGGGGCCAUUCCGAGUCCCGCGGACGAAGUUCGCCCACGCCCCCCACCAAGGCUAUAGCCCACCCGUUUUUUGGCCAUUUUUCCACUGGGGCGGCUUGGGACCCCGACCUUCCGGGGCUGAUUAUUGUGCGCGGCUGUACCCGUGGCUAUUUUUGGCACACAGAGGCCGCCCGCCAAGUAUGGUGCCAUUCCGAGUCCCGCGGACGAACUUCGCCCACGCCCCCCAUCAAGGCUAUAGCCCACCCGUUUUUUGGCCAUUUUUCCGCUGGGGGGUCUUGGGACCCCGACCUUCGGGGGCUGAUUUUUGGACGCGGCUGUGCCCGUGGCCUAUUUUUGGCACACAGAGGCCGCCCGCCAAGUAUGGUGCCAUUCUAAGUCCCGCGGACGAACUUCGCCCACGCCGCCCACCAAGGCUAUAGCCCACCCGUUUUGUGGCCAUUUUUCCGCUGGGGGGUCUUGGGACCCCGACCUUCGGGGGCUGAUUUUUGGGCGCGGCUGUGCCCGUGGCCUAUUUUUGGCACACGGAGGCCGCCCGCCAAGUCAGGGGCCAUUCCGAGUCCCGCGGACGAAGUUCGCCCACGCCCCCCACCAAGGCUAUAGCCCACCCGUUUUUUGGCCAUUUUUCCACUGGGGGGUCUUGGGACCCCGACCUUCGGGGGCUGAUUUUUGGGCGCGGCUGUGCCCGUGGCCUAUUUUUGGCACACGGAGGCCGCCCGCCAAGUAUGGUGCCAUUCCGAGUCCCGCGGACGAACUUCGCCCACGCCCCCCACCAAGGCUAUAGCCCACCCGUUUUUUGGCCAUUUUUCCGCUGGGGGGUCUUGGGACCCCGACCUUCGGGGGCUGAUUUUUGGGCGCGGCUGUGCCCGUGGCCUAUUGUUGGCACACAGAGGCGGCCCGCCAAGUAUGGUGCCAUUCCGAGUCCCGCGGACGAAGUUCGCCCACGCCCCCCACCAAGGCUAUAGCCCACCCGUUUUUUGGCCAUUUUUCCGCUGGGGGGUCUUGGGACCCCGACCUUCGGGGGCUGAUUUUUGGGCGCGGCUGUGCCCGUGGCCUAUUUUUGGCACACGGAGGCCACCCGCCAGGUCUGAGGCCAUUCCGAGUCCCGCGGACGAACUUCGCCCACGCCCCCCACCAAGGCUAUAGCCCACCCUUUUUUUGGCCAUUUUUCCGCUGGGGGGUCUGGGGACCCCACCUUCGCGGCUGUGCCCGUGGCCUAUUUUUGGCACACAGAGGCCGCCCGCCAAGUAUGGUGCCAUUCCGAGUCCCGCGGACGAACUUCGCCCACGCCGCCCACCAAGGCUAUAGCCCACCUGUUUUUUGGCCAUUUUUCCGCUGGGGGGUCUUGGGACCCCGACCUUCGGGGGCUGAUUUUUGGGCGCGGCUGUGCCCGUGGCCUAUUUUUGGCACACGGAGGCCGCCCGCCAAGUCAGGGGCCAUUCCGAGUCCCGCGGACGAAGUUCGCCCACGCCCCCCACCAAGGCCAUAGCCCACCCGUUUUUUGGCCAUUUUUCCGCUGGGGGGUCUUGGGACCCCGACCUUCGGGGGCUGAUUUUUGGGCGCGGCUGUGCCCGGGGCCUAUUUUUGGCACACGGAGGCCGCCCGCCAAGUCAGGGGCCAUUCCGAGUCCCGCGGACGAAGUUAGCCCACGCCCCCCACCAAGGCUAUAGCCCACCCGUUUUUUGGCCAUUUUUCCGCUGGGGGGUCUUGGGACCCCGACCUUCGUGGGCUGAUUUUUGGGCGCGGCUGUGCCCGUGGCCUAUUUUUGGCACACAGAGGCCGCCCGCCAAGUAUGGUGCCAUUCCGAGUCCCGCGGACGAACUUC
rnacentral:lncRNA from 1 species